GCCUUAUGGAAAUGGUUAUUGUUAAUCCAAGUCUUUUCACUGAGUUUUAUUAAAAACAAGAAAACCACGUAGUUUUUAAAUCUCUGUGGGUAUUGAAAUAGACAUAUGGAGAUAAUAAAUAUUAUUCACGUUUCUUAUCUAAUGUUAGUUAUUUCCUAGAUAUUGAUGUGUUCUUACAUAUAAAUGGAUGAAGUUUUAAUCACAGGCAAUAGUUUAAAAGGAGGCAAAUGUGGCUCAGUAAGAAAGAAGAAUAAUGACUCAUCUGUAUGUAUACCACUAAUUCUCUCUUCCUAGUUUAGAUAUGAACAUGUAGACAGGUACAUGAAGAUCAUUUCUAUUUUGGGUUCUUUCGAUUCUGGAUUUCUGUCAUUUUCUUUGUGUGUUUGUAUAUUUGAACAUAUGAUCACAUAUUCCAUGAAUAAUUCCAUACCUGAAUAAAUACAACAGUGAACAGUUGAAUUAAUGUGAGUAGGGUCAAACAUCAGAGAAGGCGGUGGCACCCCACUCCAGUACUCCUGCCUGGAAAAUCCCAUGGACGGGGGAGCCUGGUGGGCUGCCAUCUAUGGGGUUGCACAGAGUCGGACACGACUGAAGUGACUUAGCAGCAGCAGCAGCAGCAGCAGCAGGGUCAAGCAUAGACUUUGAAUGAAGACUGUGGCUGCUUCAAUCAAUCUUCUCUGAGGAAGAUCUUGGCUGUUACCUUUGUGGAACGGAUGCUCAAUGAUUCAAUUAAGGACUGUAGAAACUUUUGAGCUCUAGAAUGGAUGCCUAUUAGCAGAUUUCAGCAUCUCCCAUGGUCAUGUGCUCUGCAGACUAAGAACGGACCAGUGGGGCUGGCUGGAAAGCUCUUCCACGGACGCGCUCUCUGGUUGCCUCCA
rnacentral:lncRNA from 1 species